CUAGUACUCCCUCCGUCCUGAAAUACUUGUCGGAGAAAUGCAUAAAAAUGGAUGUAUCUAGAACUAAAAUUCGUCUAGGUACAUCCAUUCCUCCAACAAGUAUUUCCGGACGGAGGGAGUAGAUG
rnacentral:pre_miRNA from 1 species